UAAAGAUCAAAUCUAACAUAAGAUAAAAUAAAAUAAAUAAUGAGGGAUGAAAUUGAUUUUUUUUUUAAUAACAAUAAAAAGAACAAGGAUCAAAUUUGAUAUAAAAAAUUAAAUAGAAUCAAGUGCUAAAUGAUGAAAUUGAAGAGAAAAGAAAAUAAUUCAAAAGAAAUAUAAAAAAAACAAUAAAAAAAUGAAGUCUACAAUUAAAAUAAAAA
rnacentral:lncRNA from 1 species